AGGAUGUCACCCUAUAUACCAAUGAGCAAAUGGCGGAAAGGGUCACAGGUAAUUGCCCCUCCGUCUCAGUUGAAUGGGGAUUUACCUAUACUGAUAGGGCCUUGUCAUAUUAUUGUAUAAGAACAUCAUUGUCGCGCGAACCUUGACUGUGAAAUUCAUUAACCUAUUUAGUCUCAGUUAAACUGGGAUUUACAUAUACUGAUAGGGCCUUGUCAAAUUACUGUAUAAGAACAUCAUUGAUGCGGCAACCUUAACUAUGAAAUUCAUUAACCUAUUUAGCUGUGCUAGUGGAGUAAACUUGUCCAUUUAUUUCCCGAAAAGCAAAAUUCUAGGCCUAUAAUAGAGUAUAGGCUUGUAGACAAGCUGGGUGUGGCAACUUGGUUCUCCUCUUGAAGGCAACAAGAGAAACAUUCUUAGCCUUAAGCUUAGAGCUUUUUCUUUAUUAACUUUUUGGUGCUACCUGGCCUUUGUGCAGGACACAGAUGUCUUGUUAGAUAUGAUCAUGGAAUUGCACAACUUGUAACUUUGUUUUGUCGCACUAGCUUAGUGCUGAUCCUUUUCUAAUAAAAUUCCUUAUUACUUAUUAAAAAAAGGCAAAGACGAAAAGCACUUAUCGAUUCCUACAAAAUGGAAAAGGAUGUCAGAAGUGAAAAGAAUCAGGAGUCAAAGAGGUCUUCGAAAAAGCUUAUGCAGAUACAAACAACAACAACAACUACGCCUUAGUCUCAAAUCCUGUUAAGCUCAACAAAAAGCACCUAUAAACUAUAUUGCUCGGACUCUCCGAAAAUGUUGCUGGGUGCGUGUCGGAUUCGCCAAAACCAGUGUAUUUUUGGAGAAUCCGAUUUUGGAGAAUCCGACACGGGUGCGGCAGUAUUUUGGAGAGCCCAUGCAACAUAGCCUAUAAAUUUGAAAUAUGUCAACCUAUAUACUUAACUAUUACAAGUUUAAAGAUCUUUCUCAGAAGGGAAUACCCACCAGAUUUAUGGUCUUUGUUGAACUCGCCCCCGUGGAUAAAAGAAUUAAUUAGCCUCUACGUGAAUGUACACCCCAUAAAAUUUCUUCUUAAGUUAUAGCAUGACUGUCUAUCAAUGUGAGGGGGAUUGAUUAUUGAUUAUCCCCCCCCCNNNN
rnacentral:lncRNA from 1 species